rnacentral:piRNA from 1 species
UGAUGAGUGCUGGCACAGAGCUGUGU